GAUGAAGAACGCAGUGAAAUGCGAUAAGUAGUGUGAAUUGCAGAAUUCAGUGAAUCAUCGAAUCUUUGAACGCACAUUGCGCCCUUUGGUAUUCCAAAGGGCAUGCCUGUUCGAGCGUCAUUUGUACCCUCAAGCUUUGCUUGGUGUUGGGCGUCUUGUCUCUAGCUUUGCUGGAGACUCGCCUUAAAGUAAUUGGCAGCCGGCACUUUGGCCUAGGAGCGCAGCACAUUUUGCGAUCGUAGCCCGUUGUACUGGCGUCCAUCAAGAACAUUUACCACGUUUGACCUCGGAUCAGGUAGGGAUACCCGCUGAACUUAAGCAUAUCAAUAAGCGGAGGA
rnacentral:misc_RNA from 1 species